rnacentral:rRNA from 1 species
AUUGAACGCUGGCGGCAGGCCUAACACAUGCAAGUCGAGCGGUUGAGGUAGCUUGCUACCGAUGCAGCGGCGAACGGGUGAGUAAUACAUGGGAAUCUGCCUGGUAGUGGGGGACAACGUCUCGAAAGGGACGCUAAUACCGCAUACGCCCUACGGGGGAAAGGGGGGGAUCUUCGGACCUCUCGCUAUCAGAUGAGCCCAUGUCAGAUUAGCUAGUUGGUGGGGUAAAGGCUCACCAAGGCGACGAUCUGUAACUGGUCUGAGAGGAUGAUCAGUCACACUGGAACUGAGACACGGUCCAGACUCCUACGGGAGGCAGCCGUGGGGAAUAUUGGACAAUGGGCGCAAGCCUGAUCCAGCCAUGCCGCGUGUGUGAAGAAGGCCUUAGGGUUGUAAAGCACUUUCAGUGGGGAGAAAGGUAAUUCACCUAAUACGUGAGUUAAUUGAUGUUACCCACAGAAGAAGCACCGGCUAACUCCGUGCCAGCCGCCGCCGUAA